CCCUGUAACCACAGGAUGGCCCACUUGUGGCAGCUAAUGCUAAUCUAAUGAAAAGAAGACAUUUUAAAAAAGCCUAAUGAAAUUCUCGUUAGAGUCCAGUGAAGGGUCACCACAGGCCCUCCAGCUCUCCGUAAAGGCUAUUUAUUGGACCAUCUGAGAGACUCAGCCAACCUCCAAGUCCACCACCAGCUUCCUCUUGUUCGAGACUGAUGAUACCAUCUGGGUUAAGGUGCUGAAAAGCCAUUGUGGAUACCUGGAAGAGUCACUGGCUUGUGGAAGAUGGAUGAAGAACUUCCGAAGCAUCUGCAGAAGCUACACCUAAAGAAAAGGAAGAGAAGGGAGAGGCAGAGUUGCUGAACCAUGAAGAACUGAGUCUGCCUACCAACAAUGAAGAAGCGACUAAUGGGAAAGACUUAGUGAAAUCUUGGGGGAAGGGUGUGAAUGCAGAAUUGCUGCUCCUUGAUGUCUCUGUUGACCAUAUCUGUUACCAAGGAGACAUACUGGGCUUAUGUAUGUACCUAAUCCUCCCAUGUUUCACUUUGUCAACCCGGGAGAGAACAACAUUCCUGUCAAUGACCCUGAGAACUUGGAUGCCCUCCUCACUGCUAAUUCUGCUGUUCUCCAGGCUCAAAAGGUUAACUUCACGGAGCCCCUGGAUUCUGGUAUACCAUCAACACUGGACCCUCACUGAAACUUCACUUGGAUAUCCUGCUGUUGCCCUGGGUCAUGGAAAUCCUGCAGCUCCUGAGCAAGACAUACAAUAAAAGAAAAUACAUUUUAAAAACAA